AUUGAACGCUGGCGGCAGGCCUAACACAUGCAAGUCGAGCGCGCGGCGGACGGGUGCGUAAUGUCUGGGGAUCUGCCCGAUAGAGGGGGAUAACUACUGGAAACGGUGGCUAAUACCGCAUACUAUCGGAUGACACCAUAUGGGCUUAGCUAGUGGGUGGGGUAAAGGCUCACCUAGUCGACGAUCUCUAGCUGGUCUGCGAGGAUGACCAGCCACACUGGGAUUGAGACACGGCCCAGACUCCUACGGGAGGCAGCAGUGGGGAAUAUUGCACAAUGGGCGCAAGCCUGAUGCAGCCAUGCCGCGUGUAUGAAGAAGGCCUUAGGGUUGAAAAGUACUUUCAGCGGGGAGGCGUUACCCGCAGAAGAAGCACCGGCUAACUCCGUGCCAGCAGCCGCGGUAAUUC
rnacentral:rRNA from 1 species